UACGUAGGGUGCAAGCGUUGUCCGGAAUUAUUGGGCGUAAAGAGCUCGUAGGCGGUCUGUCGCGUCGGCUGUGAAAUCCCGAGGCUCAACCUCGGGUCUGCAGUCGAUACGGGCAAACGUGGAGUGUUGCAGGGGAGACUGGAAAUUCCUGGUGUAGCGGUGAAAUGCGCAGAUAUCAGGAGGAACACCGAUGGCGAAGGCAGGUCUCUGGGCCGAUACUGACGCUGGAGGAGCGAAAGCGUGGGGAGCGAACAGG
rnacentral:rRNA from 1 species